AUAGUCGCCAGGCUUGGCGGCUCUUGCUCUCCCAAGGCAGAGGAGAUCGUUGGGUUUCAAGGCCCCGCGGGCAUUUCUCGCCGGCCCUGCGGAGAGGUGAGGCAAGGCGUCGUGUCAUAGAUGCCUGAGUGCUUUCUAGGGAGACGAUGCCCGUGGGGUCGCGCCUGCUCGAGCGAACGGGAAGAGAAGGUGCCACGCCCUCCUCCCGGAUUCACGCCUUGUGCUGGCGACGCCGCUGCCUGCUGCCCCGACUUGCCCAGCUCGCCCCAAGGGGCGAGGACUGAGGAAAGCACUGCCUUUCUGUUCUUAAAGCGAACCUUUGAAGGCCUGGGCUUCGCGCCCGGCUUCUUUCUCAGCCGUUGUUUCCGUUUUUUGGUGACAAGAGGCUAGUAAUCUCGUAGGUUUGUCAGGAGCCAACGUAAGGAAAUAACAGUACAACAGCUAAUGGCUCAUUUGGAUGCUAUCAGGAAAGACAUGGUCAUCCUAGAGAAAAGUGAAUUUGCAAAUCUGAGAGCAGAGAAUGAGAAAAUGAAAAUUGAAUUAGACCAAGUUAAGCAACAACUAAUGCAUGAAACCAGUCGAAUCAGAGCAGAUAAUAAACUGGAUAUCAACUUAGAAAGGAGCAGAGUAACAGAUAUGUUUACAGAUCAAGAAAAGCAACUU
rnacentral:sRNA from 1 species